rnacentral:rRNA from 1 species
GUCUGGAAAACUGCNUGAUGGAGGGAGAUAACUACUGGAAACGGUANCUAAUACCGCAUAAUGUCGCAAGACCAAAGAGGGGGACCUUCGGGCCUCUUGCCAUCGGAUGUGCNCAGAUGGGAUUAGCUAGUAGGUGGGGUAACGGCUCACCUAGGCGACGAUCCCUAUCUGGUCUGAGAGGAUGACCAGCCACANUGGAACUGANACACGGUCCAGACUCCUACGGGAGGCAGCAGUGGGGAAUAUUGCACANUGGGCGCAAGCNUGAUGCAGCCNUGCCGCGUGUAUGAAGAAGGCCUUCGGGUUGUAAAGUACUUUCAGCGGGGAGGAAGGCGAUAAGGUUAAUAACCUUGUCGAUUGACGUUACCCGCAGAAGAANCACCGGCUAACUCCGUGCCAGCAGCCGCGGUAAUACGGAGGGUGCAAGCGUUAAUCGGAAUUACUGGGCGUAAAGCGCACGCAGGCGGUCUGUCAAGUCGGAUGUGAAAUCCCCGGGCUCAACCUGGGAACUGCAUUCUAAACUGGCAGGCUAUAGUCUUGUAUAG